UGUUGCACCAAUCAGCUGACUGUGUCCUUCUCCCGUGGGGUCCCUGUGCAGAAUGGCUGCAAACAGCAGCCUCUGUGGUAGCCGAUGCGGCCUGCUGCCUGUCUGGGCUGCUCUAAAGAUCUAGGAGACACCC
rnacentral:snoRNA from 2 species